ensembl:snRNA U6 U6 spliceosomal RNA
UUGCUUUGGCAGCACAUAUACUAAAAUUGGAAUGAUACAGAAAAGAUUAGCAUGGCCCUGUGCAAGGAAGACACACAAAUUUGUGAAGCAUUUCAUUGUUUU